UCUCAUUGCUGCCCGCUGCUGCCCCGGGUCUGACCUUCCCGAGGAGGAAGCGCACAAUGGGGCUGCAGUGCUGAGCCUGGGAUUUGUGCUCUUUUGCUUUGCUUCAACACGCAUUUUGGCACGCCACGUGUGCUGGAGCCUUUAAAAAUCUGCUAAAGUCAUUUGUUUUUGAAAUAGUGAAGACCCUUGUGUGUGGGCAGAGCCCGAAUGUGCUGCCCUGCUACAUCUUCAUAUGAGAAUUACAGCACAACCUGACGCUAAAAACAGAGCAACUUUCCUCCCCCAUCAGAAUUUCUCAGCACUUACUUCUGCCUGGCAAACUCCAGAUCCAUUUUGUGGCUUUUCAGGGCUGCCUCCAUCCGCCCCAUCUCAAACUGAGCAUUCCCAAUGCAGCUGUGGAGGUUCCCAAUCAGCUCCUUCUUGUUGGGAACUUCAUCCUCUGACCAUCCUUGUAUCGUUUUCAGCACGUGCUCAGCUUUCCUGCAGCUCUCUUCGGGGCAAUCUCCAGUGAGCACUGAGGACAGAGAGGAGCAGAGUGCAGCUGUGCAGACACAGCGACACGGGGAGGGAAGGCCAGCAGUUUUGUCAGCCUCACAAGAAGCCUGGGAAGGCUUCAGCUCCUCGCUCCGCAGGCACAUCCUACAACCCUUCAUUCAGCCUGCAGGAACUCCCUGCUGCUGUGUGACAACGCUCGUGUUGCACCGCACCUCUGGUCUGCAUUUGCUACAGCAAGUGGCCACAAGCGCCACUCAUCGCUGUCUUACUGUUUCCAGCCAGGACACGCACACAUGUCGAUGUCCUCCAUGCUCUGCACAAUGAAUCUGGCCACCUCGGCUGGUUUGGGUUUCUUCUCCCGGAUCCACCUCUGCUGCCUGAGCCUGCGCUCCCUCACACGGGCGUAGAUGGGCUUCUGCUGCUGCCAGAACUCGGCGCGCGUGUCCAGGUAGGCGAUGCCGCCCAGCACCACGUCCUCCACUUUGACGCCCUGCUUUGUGACGCUGCUCAUCAAAUCUGAAAAUAGGGGGGCAGAAGAGGAGAGCGCAGUGCACACAGCAGAUGAAGCCUCAGGUCACUGGGCUCCUGAACGUCCUGCUGUGACAGAGAGAGAGCUGGAAAUUCAGGCUCCAGUGCUCCUCAGAGCGGGUUUGACUGGGAGGGGAGUUCCAGAAAUUCUCCUUGGGGGCAAAAACUGCUGUGCUUGGGGCUGGCUGUGGUGUGUGCCUGUCCUGGGCAGAGCACAUGGAUGGGACACCUGCACUCAGAUGGCACUGAAAGCACUGGGGAGAUGGAGAGGAGCAUUACAUGCCUGGAAACUAGACGGCUCAUACAUUAUUAUACUAAUGCUGGCAAUACCAUAAAACUUAUUAGACUAAAUUCUUAAUUACUGCUCUGUUACCAAGUAAACGGUUUCCUAGGAGGAGGAAAAAAAAAAAAAAAAAAAAAGAUUAAAUGGAAAUCACCUUUCUGCCUAUUUCUAAAAUAAGGUCCUUUGUGAAUCCUGCAUCUUGUUCCUAACAGUGUGUUUAACAAAGCCACAGGUGAGGAAGUGCCACCAGCAAUGCUUUGCUCUUAAUGCAGAUGUUAGUGGAAUCAACAUCAUGUCAGGAAUGGAGUGGUUUAUAAUGCUGACUUCCUCAACACAGAUGGCUGUGAUUGAAAGGAGGAAACAUUCAGAGGCAGCUCUGAAUAUUGGAUUUGGCUCCAAAGACACCUGAACUCUGCAGACAUCUGCCUCUCUCUGACACUGCCAGCCCUAGGAGCUACGUGAGCUGUGAGACAAACACGAGCAGUAAUAAGAAUAUGAAAGAAGGAAAGAAGAUCCUGCUUAGAAGGAACAUUUAACUGAAAACAAUGGAGAAAACCUUCAUCCUUCAGCAGCUUUUCUAGGUAGGCCUUGUCAGCAUAGAGCUCUCCAAGAAGCUGCCGCUCUGUUUUCUGAUUCCUUGCAGGUUCCUGUUUCUUUGUGCACUUUUGGUCCUUGAUCAGUUUGAUUUGGAGUUUCUGAUCUGCUUUUUUGCUCUACAGCAAGAAAAAAAUAGAGGGGAAACGUGGUGCAGCAUCUCAGAGCAACAGAGCAGUGGAGCACCCCGAAAUAAAGCAGCUGAGAAAGUGUCCAUUAUCAGAAACGUGAACCUCAACCAGCAGCCCAGGUGCUUGAAGGCAUUCAAAGCAUUCAGCUCAGCACGUCAGGCAGACGAGUUUCCACUGAGAGCUGUGCUGUCUCAGUGUUUGCACCAACUAAGAAAGCAGCAGUAAGAGGAAAACAAAGCAGGUCUGGAAAACUGCUCUGUCUGCCAUUUUAAAUGAGUGUCACACAUGGAAGAGCUGCAGGCCUUCACACAGCUGGGACGUGAAGCCAAUCUGCAGUACUGGAGGUGGGCUGCAAUUCCAAAAGCGAUCUCAAGGCGAGGUAGCUGUGUUAUCUGUGGGAUCGAGGUGUGUGGGGCGGGCAGGCAGGGUGUGCCCUGGCUCCAUGACAGGACAGGCUGCUGGAGGAUCCACCUGAGCAGUUUCUGACUGUCCCAGCAGGUUUUGCAGCAGCCUUGCAAGCUGUGCACAGGUUCUCUUUGCACGUGAUAAGCCACUCAGCCACAGAGCCAGCCCCAGUGGAGCGUGUGUGUGAGCCUGGAGCGGGUGCAGGUGUUGACUAAGCUUGCCUGCAUGUGAGAGCACUGCUAGGAGAAAAAGUAAGGGAAAAGUUUUCCACUGGUUUUGAACGUCAUCAGGUCCUUGGCCUUUCCUGUCUCUUGCAGUUCUCUGAUUUACGCCAGAGCUUAUGAAAGCAGUGCUCCAUUGCAACAGUUUCACUGCUCUGAUGCAAUGUAAACUGGAGGAAAAUCAGAAUCUCAGGAAGGCCAGUCUCAGGUGGGCAGAUUUCACUACAAACUUUUUAACACCAGGAUAAAGAUCUCAAAAUGGAUUCUGUAAUCAGUAGGCCAUAAGUAGGUGUACUGCUGUUCUGUAUUAUUUAGAACAUUUUUAUGGUGACUUUAGAAAUGUAAGUGCCAGGGUCAUAAUUCACUCCCAUAAUCAUUAGCUAUUAGACACUGCAGGUGGGGAUGUGUUCUUUUCUGCGCUUCUUGGUUUCAAAUAAGAAUGGCAGUAGAGCUCAUGAAUCCAGAAGCAAAAGGAACUCUGCUGUUACUUGGUCCUUAGGAAUAUUAACACCCAUCAGCUAUCAGCAGCUGAUGACAGAACACCAUGAAAAGCCUCAGCUGUGCCUGCAGGCACCAUGAAGGGGAACUUCUUACUUCCAAUGCAGUUGAUGAUCGCCUCGUGGGAUUUCUGGAUGCCCAGCCUGAACUUCUGCAGCUCCGGGCGCAGUUCACCGCCCCGGUGAUAAAACACCAGAGCAAAUUCAAAGUCACCCAUGGUAUAUAACGUCUCAGCUUUUUGGUAAAGGCCCUGAAAAGACAUUUGAAGGGGAGAAAGCCAACAAACUAUGCUUCAGAACCUCCAAACAAUCCUCUCCUGGGCAGAAGUGAAAGCCCUACUCAUACAGCCAAGUUUGCAUACAAUAAAAUCCAA